AUUUUGUUGGUUUCUAGGAUCNNNGUAAUGAUUAAUAGGGAUAGUUGGGGGCAUUAGUAUUCAAUUGUCAGAGGUGAAAUUCUUGGAUUUAUUGAAGACUAACNNNUGCGAAAGCAUUUGCCAAGGAUGUUUUCAUUAAUCAAGAACGAAAGUUAGGGGAUCGAAGACGAUCAGAUACCGUCGUAGUCUUAACCAUAAACUAUGCCGACUAGGGAUCGGAU
rnacentral:rRNA from 1 species